UCCUUGGUGGCUCAGAUGAUAAAGAAUCUGCCUGCAAUGUAGGAGACCCAGGUUCAACGCCUGGGUAAGGAA
rnacentral:tRNA from 1 species